rnacentral:rRNA from 1 species
GGGUGAACCUGCGGAGGGAUCAUUACCGAGUUUACAACUCCCAAACCCCUGUGAACAUACCACUUGUUGCCUCGGCGGAUCAGCCCGCUCCCGGUAAAACGGGACGGCCCGCCAGAGGACCCCUAAACUCUGUUUCUAUAUGUAACUUCUGAGUAAAACCAUAAAUAAAUCAAAACUUUCAACAACGGAUCUCUUGGUUCUGGCAUCGAUGAAGAACGCAGCAAAAUGCGAUAAGUAAUGUGAAUUGCAGAAUUCAGUGAAUCAUCGAAUCUUUGAACGCACAUUGCGCCCGCCAGUAUUCUGGCGGGCAUGCCUGUUCGAGCGUCAUUUCAACCCUCAAGCACAGCUUGGUGUUGGGACUCGCGUUAAUUCGCGUUCCUCAAAUUGAUUGGCGGUCACGUCGAGCUUCCAUAGCGUAGUAGUAAAACCCUCGUUACUGGUAAUCGUCGCGGCCACGCCGUUAAACCCCAACUUCUGAAUGUGACCU